UUUUGUUUCUUGAACUCAUUUGAGUCAACGUUUAUUGCAGCUCCGCAACUCGUACCGUAACAAAUGUAACACAACAGAGACUUUCUGUGUCCGUCAACUAUAUCUGUCCCUCGGGAAACUCAAACCUAAAUAACAAUUGUUCCUCUUGUUAGUCUACAGCGAUGCGUGCUUUCGGUUUUCCGACUUCUAGCCUCACUUUUAUUUUACCGUAUCUAUCCAUGGAAGAAACAUUUAUUCAUCAUGAUGAAACGAGCAAGUUAUACAGCAGCCUUUAAAAGAAAAGCCACAUCUGUUUUGUUUUCUCCUGGAUUCUGAAUGCCCAUACAACUUUAAAACUGGUGAUAUCCGAGGUAACAGGAGCAACCUUUUCAGUCCAUCUAUUCCAACAGGUGUGGCUAAGUGCUUUUGUGCAUAGGCAGGCUUGCUGUGUUUUUGGUCCACAACUCCAAAGGACAGGACUCCGAACUGUUGCUGAGUUCUGGUCUGUAUGGAAGCAUGCUGUUUUCAACUAAAUCUCUACAGAAUCAGACUCCCAUGAAGGAGUCAGAAGGCUUAAAUUGGUGGCUCUGAAGUUAAAAAGGUUGGACGCCAGACGGGUGGAGCGGCCACAGCUGCUGGCAAUUCCAAUCAGCCAUCUUCAUAAGCCAGUGGAUGCUAUCACCUCGUCGCCCAAUCAAUCUGUUUACCACGUCCUGACUUUGCACGCCCCUGCCUUCCUUCCGAGCUCCCAUGCCUCACGUCGGCUCAGCUACCUCAAGCAGAACAACCUACACCCGCCACCUUAUUGCUUGUGCUCGCCAAUAAACUAUUACUUG